UUCUCGAAAGUGUAACAGGGAUCCCUUAGGUAGCACAAAAAAUAUAACAAAAAUAACACACAAGUGAAAUCCCCCAAAAUAGCAUUAUUUUAAAAUUAAAAUGAUUAUAUUAACUCCAUAAGUCCAUCUACAUGGCAAAAUUCCCCAAAUAGCAUUAAUUUAAAAGUAAAAUGAUUAAAUUACUACAAAUACAAGGGAAAAUUCCUAAAAUAGCAUUAAUUUAAAAGUAAAAUGUUAUAAAAACCCCAUCCGCUAAAUACUAAACCCAAACUCAAAUAUAUAUAAUUUUUCUUCAACUUUUCAUAAAUGUUAUUUUAGAAAAUUUUCUCAGUACUAUUUUUGGAACAAAAAAAGUGUUUCAAACUUUUAAUGCUAUCCUAUGGUAUUUUCUCAAUGCAAGGACUAACAAGAUUACUAUAUUUUAUAUCCAAAGGUAGCAACCAGUUUACCUGCUCGGCUGCACGGCCACCGAGAGUCAUGCAAGUCAUGUCAAAGAGCUGCUCUUUAGUCAUGAGAAGGUUUUCAUUCGGAACGUACUGCGCAAACCCGAGCGCCGCUGUGCCACGUGGCACAAUGGUCACCUUCAGCAACGGCUCCGCAUGUUCCAGGAACCAACCAGCAACCGCGUGACCAGACUCAUGAUACGCAACUGUACGACGCUCCAACUUACUUAUCACCUGUUUCACACAUCAAAAAACAUUCAGACACAUCACAAAACCAUUGUCUGAAAAAAAAAACAAGGAAAGAGAAAGCUUUUUUUCUUUUUAAUUACCCUGUUCUUCUUCUCAAGACCACCAAUAACACGAUCAAUCGCAGAGUCGAAAUGCGCCAUCGUGACGGUCGCUCCUCCACGUCUAGCCGCAAUAAGAGCCGCUUCGUUACACACAUUCGCAAUAUCAGCUCCAGCGAAACCGGGAGUGAGUGCCGCAAGCCUCUGAGAGAAAUACGACGGCUCGUGAUCAAGCUUAAUCUUCUUCAAAUAAAUCCGGAAUAUCUGAUCCCUCCCUUUGAUAUCCGGUUUAUCAAUGGUUAUCUGCCGAUCAAACCGGCCAGGCCUCAACAAAGCCUUAUCCAAAAUAUCCGGUCUAUUAGUCCCAGCGAGAACCACAACACCAGCCGUCGUACCGAACCCAUCCAUCUCAACCAACAGCUGAUUCAAAGUGCUCUCCCUCUCGUCGUUCCCGCCUAACCCUCCACGUCCUCGUGCUCUACCGAUGGCGUCUAUCUCGUCAAUAAAUACAAUGCUUGGCGCAGCCGCUCUAGCUUCUUGGAACAAGUUCCUAACCCUAGACGGCCCCACGCCGACGAACAUCUCCAUGAAAUCCGAACCGGAGAUGGAUAAAAACGGCACGCCGGACUCUCCGGCGGUCGCUUUUGCCAAGAGGGUCUUCCCGGUGCCGGGAGGACCCACUAAAAGCGCGCCUUUAGGUAUCUUGGCGCCCAAGUCUUCGUAUUUUUUAGGGUUUUUGAGGAAAUGCACGAACUCCAUGAUCUCCUGCUUCGCCUCGUCGCAUCCGGCGACGUCCUUGAAGUUGAAAGUCACUCACUCUCUUACGUGGGAACCACCUGCGGUUCAAGCGGCGGAGGACCUCCUUCAUCCACCACAGGCGUAACCGUCGUGGCCGCCUCCUCCUUCUCACUAUCUUCAAACCCGGACUUGAACCGGUCAUAAUUAGUCACCUCAGCCGAUUUAAACGGACGUUCACCCAAAACUUUCAAAAGAUCCUCCUGAUGCAACACUUCUUUCUCCAGCAAAAGCUCAGCGAUCUCAGCCACUUGCUCUUUGUGUUCCUCGAUGAGCUCCACGGUCUUCUCAUAAGCUUUCCCCACCCAUUCCCUUACUUCCUCGUCUAUGAUCGCACCGGUUUUGUUGCUGUACGGUUUAUUAAAGUCGUAGCCGUCGUCCCUUGGAGGGAACGAGAGGAGCCCGACCUUGUCGCUGAAACCGUACACAGCUACUUGCGCGUAUGUCAUCUUUGUAACUUUCUCUAGAUCGUUCUGCGCACCGGUCGAGAUUCUUCCGAUCAGUACCUGCGUUAAACAGACCAGAAACUUUAAACUUCUCGAAAGUGUAACAGGGAUCCCUUAGGUAGCACAAAAAAUAUAACAAAAAUAACACACAAGUGAAAUCCCCCAAAAUAGCAUUAUUUUAAAAUUAAAAUGAUUAUAUUAACUCCAUAAGUCCAUCUACAUGGCAAAAUUCCCCAAAUAGCAUUAAUUUAAAAGUAAAAUGAUUAAAUUACUACAAAUACAAGGGAAAAUUCCUAAAAUAGCAUUAAUUUAAAAGUAAAAUGUUAUAAAAACCCCAUCCGCUAAAUACUAAACCCAAACUCAAAUAUAUAUAAUUUUUCUUCAACUUUUCAUAAAUGUUAUUUUAGAAAAUUUUCUCAGUACUAUUUUUGGAACAAAAAAAGUGUUUCAAACUUUUAAUGCUAUCCUAUGGUAUUUUCUCAAUGCAAGGACUAACAAGAUUACUAUAUUUUAUAUCCAAAGGUAGCAACCAGUUUACCUGCUCGGCUGCACGGCCACCGAGAGUCAUGCAAGUCAUGUCAAAGAGCUGCUCUUUAGUCAUGAGAAGGUUUUCAUUCGGAACGUACUGCGCAAACCCGAGCGCCGCUGUGCCACGUGGCACAAUGGUCACCUUCAGCAACGGCUCCGCAUGUUCCAGGAACCAACCAGCAACCGCGUGACCAGACUCAUGAUACGCAACUGUACGACGCU
rnacentral:lncRNA from 1 species